rnacentral:rRNA from 1 species
UACAGAGGGGGCAAGCGUUGUUCGGAAUUACUGGGCGUAAAGGGCGCGUAGGCGGCCUUCUAAGUCGAACGUGAAAUCCCUCGGCUCAACCGGGGAACUGCGUCUGAUACUGGAUGGCUUGAAUUCGGGAGAGGGAUGCGGAAUUCCAGGUGUAGCGGUGAAAUGCGUAGAUAUCUGGAGGAACACCGGUGGCGAAGGCGGCAUCCUGGACCAAGAUUGACGCUGAUGCGCGAAAGCCAGGGGAGCAAACGGG